GGGGCUGAUUCUGGAUUCGACGGGAUUUGCGAAACCCAAGGUGCAUGCCGAGGGGCGGUUGGCCUCGUAAAAAGCCGCAAAAAAUAGUCGCAAACGACGAAAACUACGCUUUAGCAGCUUAAUAACCUGCUUAGAGCCCUCUCUCCCUAGCCUCCGCUCUUAGGACGGGGGUCAAGAGAGGUCAAACCCAAAAGAGAUCGCGUGGAAGCCCUGCCUGGGGUUGAAGCGUUAAAACUUAAUCAGGCUAGUUUGUUAGUGGCGUGUCCGUCCGCAGCUGGCAAGCGAAUGUAAAGACUGACUAAGCAUGUAGUACCGAGGAUGUAGGAAUUUCGGACGCGGGUUCAACUCCCGCCAGCUCCACCA
rnacentral:tmRNA from 1 species